UUUAUUGAAGCUGUUUAUUUAAUUUUAUUAUGCAAUAGCUAUUAUGCUCUACUGUUGCUACCUAUGAAUUAUUAUUAUACAAAGCAGAUUAAGCGUGCACAAUAAAUUAAAUUGCAGACUAAACUGAUCAUAAGCAAAACAAAACAAAAUAAAUAACAAAAAGUAAAUCCUUUACCAAAGUGAUUUUGUGAAACGCUACAGAAGCCUUGCCAAAAAGGAAUGUGUGACGAGCGUCACACAAUCCAUAACGGACGGCACGCCUAUUGCCUGUUACGAACGUCACACUCCUGUGACGAGCGUAACACUCCUCAGAUUAGUGAACGUUAAGGAGCCGUUGGAGACGAACGUUAC
rnacentral:lncRNA from 1 species